rnacentral:rRNA from 1 species
CCUACGGGAGGCAGCAGUGAGGAAUAUUGGUCAAUGGCCGGAAGGCUGAACCAGCCAUGCCGCGUGAAGGUCAGUGCCCUAUGGGCGUUAAACUUCUUUUGUGCGGGAGCAAUAAUGGUCACGUGUGGCCAGACGAGAGUACCGUACGAAUAAGCAUCGGCUAACUCCGUGCCAGCAGCCGCGGGAAUACGUAGGGGGCAAGCGUUAUCCGGAGUUACUGGGGGUAAAGGGGGUGCAGACGCCAGCGCAAGAGAGGAGUGAAAGCCCGGGGGCCAACCCCGGGACUGCUCUUGGAACUGCGCGGCUGGAGUGCAGGAGGGGCAGGCGGAAUUCCUGGUGUAGCGGUGAAAUGCGUAGAUAUCAGGAGGAACACCGGUGGCGAAGGCGGCCUGCUGGACUGCGACUGACGUUGAGGCCCGAAAGCGUGGGGAGCAAACAGGAUUAGAUACCCGUGUAGUC